rnacentral:rRNA from 1 species
CCUACGGGUGGCAGCAGUGAGGAAUAUUGGUCAAUGGACGAGAGUCUGAACCAGCCAAGUAGCGUGAAGGAUGACUGCCCUAUGGGUUGUAAACUUCUUUUAUAUGGGAAUAAAAUGUUCCACGUGUGGGAUUUUGUAUGUACCAUAUGAAUAAGGAUCGGCUAACUCCGUGCCAGCAGCCGCGGUAAUACGGAGGAUCCGAGCGUUAUCCGGCUUUAUUGGGUUUCAAGGGAGCGUAGGUGGAUUGUUAAGUCAGUUGUGAAAGUUUGCGGCUCAACCGUAAAAUUGCAGUUGAAACUGGCAGUCUUGAGUACGGUAGAGGUGUGCGGAAUUCGUGGUGUAGCGGUGAAAUGCUUAGAUAUCACGAAGAACUCCGAUUGCGAAGGCAGUUCACUGGACUGCAACUGACACUGAGGCUCGAAAGUGUGGGUAUCAAACAGGAUUAGAUACCCGAGUAGUC